UACGUAGGGUGCAAGCGUUGUCCGGAAUUAUUGGGCGUAAAGAGCUCGUAGGCGGUCUGUCGCGUCGGCUGUGAAGACUUGGGGCUCAACCCCAAGCCUGCAGUCGAUACGGGCAGACUAGAGUGCGGUAGGGGAGACUGGAAUUCCUGGUGUAGCGGUGAAAUGCGCAGAUAUCAGGAGGAACACCGGUGGCGAAGGCGGGUCUCUGGGCCGUAACUGACGCUGAGGAGCGAAAGCGUGGGGAGCGAACAGG
rnacentral:rRNA from 1 species